rnacentral:misc_RNA from 1 species
CUCCCAUGCAUCUCCUAACUAAGAGAAAACUUUAGACACUUUUGACCGAGAUUUCUGGCUUUCCAAUCUAGCUUCAAGUAGUUUUGCCUUCAAAGUAUUCUCCUUUACGCCCAUAGGUAAUUUCAAAGAAGAAUCAGAUUUAUCAAAUUCUGGACAUGCCAAUUUUGACAUCCAAUGCUGCACUGGACUUGUAUGUCCUGCAAUCACUGGCUGAAUAGAAGAAUCUUCUUUAAAAUCACCUUCAGGAUGAAUUUUAUCACC